rnacentral:rRNA from 1 species
UAGGGAAUCUUCGGCAAUGGACGAAAGUCUGACCGAGCAACGCCGCGUGAGUGAAGAAGGUUUUCGGAUCGUAAAACUCUGUUGUUAGAGAAGAACAAGGACGUUAGUAACUGAACGUCCCCUGACGGUAUCUAACCAGAAAGCUACGGCUAACUACUUGCCAGCCGCCGCGGUAAUACGUAGUUGGCAAGCGUUGUCCGGAUUUCUUGGGCGUAAAGCGAGCGCAGGCGGUUUCUUAAGUCUGAUGUGAAAGCCCCCGGCUCAACCGGGGAGGGUCAUUGGAAACUGGGAGACUUGAGUGCAGAAGAGGAGAGUGGAAUUCCAUGUGUAGCGGUGAAAUGCGUAGAUAUAUGGAGGAACACCAGUGGCGAAGGCGGCUCUCUGGUCUGUAACUGACGCUGAGGCUCGAAAGCGUGGGGAGCAAACAGG